rnacentral:rRNA from 1 species
UGACCUCGGAUCAGGUAGGGAUACCCGCUGAACUUAAAGCAUAUCAAUAAGCGGAGGAACCC